AGCAUACUUAAGAUCCUUUACGACUGUAAAUGGAUUCAAAAAGUAUAAGCAAAAUCAACAAAAGUCAACUUGUAAGAUAUCAAACAAUGAAGCUCAUAAUCCCUACAAAAUUGAAAAUAAUAAAAUGUAACAAAACCUCUAUACAAACAAAUGAAAAUGGAAGCUGAAUGUGAGAUCAAUUUAAUUGAGUAUAGCCAGAACUUUUGUUUACUUCAAUGGAAAAGGUAUAGAUUUCCGGCAAAAAUGAUUCAUCCUUGAAUUUCAAGAGUAGUCACAAAGUACACAAACUCAAAAGUGAAGAACUGAUUGCAAACAUUCCAUUCAAACGCUUACUUUAGUGGGAUCAUAAUUGCAAACAUUCCAGUAAAAAAAUGUCAUUUUCCUGCUAAGUCUUUAGAUUUUAGACAUAAUCUAAGGCUCUAUUACACAAGGAACUUCUUUUGCCAUGUUCUUUCGAUCAAUGAAAG
rnacentral:misc_RNA from 1 species